CCGCUUGGUCACUUUAACUGUUUAGACUACGUUACCCAUGAUGCACCUCGGUAUCUGUACUUCCGGUUGGGAACGUGUUCAGCGCAGUUCUGCACAGAUGAGAGGUGUGUUGGAGGUGUCGGAGGAUUAACGUUUUUCCUUGCAUUCCUGUGUGUGUGCUUAUCAUAUGACCACACACUCAUAUACACACUCACACUCCCUUCACCUGCAUUUUUGAAUACAGUAAUGCAAUCGCCUCCCCACCGACGCUGUACAUCCUGUUGAUGUCAUCUGCCACCUCCUUAUUAAAGUUACUUGAACUACA